rnacentral:misc_RNA from 1 species
GGUUUUCUCCCUGAAAAGGGACUGUUAACACUUUCCAUAAGACUCUUUUUCAUUUACCAGGUUUUCUUUCUGAAAAGGGACUGUUAACACUUUCCAUAAUGCUCCUUUUCAUUUACCAGGUUUUGUUCCUGAAAAAGGACUGUUAACACUUUCCAUAAGGCUUCUUUUCAUUUACCAGGGCACUGUUCUUGUUAUGGAUCAGAUGGGAUACAAUGCUGAUCGCACACCAUUCACGAACAUCUCAAACACCAUCAUUACAGGUAAUCAAAAUGAAUCGAACUCGCUUGGACCAAUUGUCGAUGCUAGGGAACGUAAGAGGCAAAGGGAUAGGGAAAGAUAUGUCGCGAUGACUGUUGAACAAAAGAAUGAGAAAAAUAGGAAGCGUCGUGAAGCGCGCCAAAGGAAUAAAGGACUACCGAUAAAAACACAAUCAUCCAUAGAUAGCUUUCCAGAUGACUGUAGCACCAUUGAUUUCAGAAUUUUGUCAACACAAGGCAUUGCAGGUGGAGACGAACAAGUAAACCUGGAUCUAGAUGAUGAUAGCGAUUGGUUGCAUAGAAAUGAGACAUUCCAGGCAAACAACAUUGUCGCAAGUAAUGACCUUCUGACAACAGGUA